rnacentral:rRNA from 1 species
GACGAACGCUGGCGGCGUGCCUAAUACAUGCCAGUUGAGCGCUGAAGGUUGGUACUUGUACCAACUGGAUGAGCAGCGAACGGGUGAGUAACGCGUGGGGAAUCUGCCUUUGAGCGGGGGACAACAUUUGGAAACGAAUGCUAAUACCGCAUAAAAACUUUAAACACAAGUUUUAAGUUUGAAAGAUGCAUUUGCAUCACUCAAAGAUGAUCCCGCGUUGUAUUAGCUAGUUGGUUAGGUAAAGGCUCACCAAGGCGAUGAUACAUAGCCGACCUGAGAGGGUGAUCGGCCAAAUUGGGACUGAGACACGGCCCAAACGCCUACGGGAGGCAGCAGUAGGGAAUCGUCGGCAAUGGACGAAAGGCUGACCGAGCAACGCCGCGUGAGUGAAGAAGGGUUUCGGAUCGUAAAACUCUGUUGGUAGAGAAGAACGUUGGUGAGAGUGGAAAGCUCAUCAAGUGACGGUAACUACCCAGAAAGGGACGGCUAACUACGUG